UGACUCCCUCCGACGAGCAUCUGAGGCAGGAACGGGGGACCCAUGUUUCUCUGGGCGUCGCCUCCUCGGCGCCCUUGGGGCGAAGCCGGACACGCAUGAGGCGUUCGGCCGGGCUCCCAGCCCGAACCCGACAGCUCACCUCGCAGGCGUAGGGGAAGGACCA
rnacentral:sRNA from 16 species